rnacentral:tRNA from 1 species
GGGCCCGUAGCUCAGAUGGGAGAGCGCCGCCUUUGCACGGCGGAGGUCAGGGGUUCGAAUCCCCUCGGGUCCACCA